GUGCUCGCUUCGGCAGCACAUAUACUAAAAUUGGAACGAUACAGAGAUUAGCAUGGCCCCUGCGCAAGGAUGACACGCAGACUCGUGAAGCGUUCCGUAUUUUU
ensembl:snRNA U6 U6 spliceosomal RNA